rnacentral:lncRNA from 1 species
AUUGCACUUAUUGUAAACCGGUCGUAAGAGUCAAGGAAAUGCCAGCUCCUACAACAUAUUUGUCCUCUAGUGAGGUGAAUUCACAGCCAAUCACAGGCAAGCGGAACGUAACGAGAGUAAUCUCUUAAUUAACUUGGAAGUUAGAGUCUAAAUAGUUUUCAUAACUUGGGGCCAAAAGGUAAUCAAGCAGAAUGUUCAUGUAAAAGUCAAUGAUAGUGAAGCGAUAGUGAAAUCACUUAAAUGGAUCAAUCGAAAUCAAUUAGGUCAAAGUGUGGAAUGAAAUCUUCAUCUCAAAGAUUAUUGGAAUCAAUUAAUAGAAAGUGAUGGGAGGAAUGAUUAUUCAAAGAUUUUACGAUCACUUCAUUGGAUCAAUAGCAGUCUAGAAAUGUGAGGAAGGAUGGAUGACGUAACUUGCCCUUCCAUAAUGGGAAUCGCGUCCUCGUGAUCCUCAUUGAUAUCUACCAUGAUAUUUGCAUUGUUUAUCUUUGUUUUACAACAAAAGUAUAUUAUUGGCAAAAUAAUCAAUAUUGCGGUUUUCCAAAUGUUUAUGAUGAACAUAUUACAAAGUCAAAUUACUAUAUUCCCCACAGCUUAUAUUCCUAAUUACAUUGGGUAGUAUGACGUUAUUUUCAAUGUAGUAUAUUUGGUUCUUAAACGUAAGGUUAUUUAUAUUUAUUUGAGAAUUUGUGUAUUUAAUCAAAUUAUGUCGUGGUAAUAUAAUAUUUUGGUCUUUAUCAUUUGAAUUUUUUGUAACAAUGAUAUUUUUCAUUUAUUUGUCCGACUUACUUGAAGGAGCGAUCUUUCCAUUCCCUAAGUGGGGUGAACUCAGACCAAAAACGGAUCGAUGAAUGAUUUCGAUGGCAACGCAUGCUAAACACGUCAAUGGUCUUUGGCAACCAUUUAUCAAUUUAUAUUUGUCGAACAGAUGGCUGUGUGCUGGAGAGCUCUUUGCUGAGACGAAGGGAUUUAUGUGUGCUAUUCGGGUCGGCGUGGUCGCCACCCGAGUUUAUGAAAAACGGGUGGCGAACGACCAAUGCAGAAUAUAUGGUUCGGCACUGGAGACUUUGGACCAUCUUAUUUCUGGUUGCACUAUAAUGGCGGCGGUGCAAUACACAAUGCUGCAUGUAAAGUGAUUAACCAAAGCUUUGCAUACAAACAUGGAAUGAUGACGGGAACAUGUCCGGUUUACUGAUAUGAGCCCCAGGCACUACCUAAUCGUCCUGUUUACAGUAUGUAUUGUUAAAACAAACCCGAUGUCCUGUUAGUUCAGAGACGGGUCGUUCUGCGCACAUUAUUGAUAUUGCUAUACCCAAAAACAGCAACAUUGAACGGAAGUACGUGGAGAAUACGGUGAACUAUGAGGCACUUGUUUGGAAAUCAAAGAAAUUUGGCGUCUCGAGCGGUUGGUUGUAGAUGCCAUAAUGCAUGUAUUGUACCAAAAUCCCUCAUGGCUUCCUCUGAUGUCCUGGAACUAUGCAAAAAUAUACCAUUCCACAUUCAUGCUCAAGAUUGCGGGGAGUUCUCGACGGAUUCUUCCAUACACCUACCACCGGCCACCACCACCAGCGCUCCUUUAUCUUUGAAGUAGGUGGGAUGGUCAGAGCCUAAAUGCUUGGUACUUAGUGGCAGUAUUAUAUGAAAUCCGUAACUUGCCUAGAUUGUGAAACCUCUAGAAAAUAAAUAAAUAAUGAGAAGAGUCUUUUUAUAGUUAUUUGUUUUUCCAAGUUAGAAGUGGUAUCACGAAUUUUUUUAAUCCACUAAUGUGAAGCAGAUAAGAAACUAGCGUUGAUCUUAUUCAACCACUUCUUGCCCAUCGCUGUCGAGCACUUAUCAAAUUAGUGAAGUUAGUUAUGUCCGCCAAUCUUCUCGCAACAAUAUGGCUGCUAGCUGUGAAUAUCAAAUUAAAUCUGUGUUUUCGCGUCUGCAACAUCAAGAUAAUGGAGAUGUCAACGGAUAUCCACUACUAGUUAUGUAGAAAUGAAAGCAUCGUAUACCCAAACAUUAUUACUUAAAAUAUCAACAAGAUCAUUCAUACCUGACGUACCGAGCUUCCCGUUUCCGACUUGUUCAACAUUCAGCACAAAAUCGAAUAUUUCAAGCUCGCAAUAACCAGUUUAUUAUAUUAUACAAUAAAUCGCGGGUCAAUUUCGGGCAAUUAUAAUUAUUAAUAUUAUUUCUUACCACAUUAAUAACAUAAAUGAGUAGAGUGCUUUUAUAAUACUACUACCUGUGAAUGCAAAAUUAAAGCUAUGAACGUGACAACACUUUUCACAUGUGCAACAUCAAAUAUUACCAUUAUCUUUUACAUUGCUAUUACUGCAAAUAUUAAGAUUGAAAUUAUCUGAGACGAUUGCAAAUGACGUCGAAACUCCAACAGUUGAAUAGUGAUAAACACUUGUUUCAGUAGAACCAUUUUUACUUUCAUUAUAUUCUUUCAAGUACUUCUUCGGGAUCGCGAUGAAUUUUUUGAGGCAAGUCGACUGAUAUCAACUAACACUGUUUAUACGAUCCGGAUAAAAUAAGUUUGUAUAUUUCAUAUGAAGCAUUUGUCGGAUAUGAAGCUCCUCACGGCAUUGUUAAAAGCUUUCUUCCGUUAAUUUCACAAUUAUGCCGAAUUCAACUUCUGGGAAUAUGACUCGAUGCCACAAGUUUAUACAACAAACCGGAGGGAAAACGUUAUUAUGAUGAAUAUUAUCCCAAUAGAUUUGUAUAACGAACUUGAAACAGGAUAUAUAUGAAGAUAAAUUUGUGUAAUCGUUAAUUAGUUUGAAGAUUCCAGAAAACCAAACGAAUUCAGAAAUUCAAGAAAAACACAGCCCGACGUAUUAUUCAUUGUAACGGUAUUCGAAUCCACGAAACACUUUCAAUUGCUGGAUUUUUAAAACCAAAGUGCAAUUUGUCGUAGAGCACCUUUAAUAAGUUCUCUCAAAAAGUUUCUUUCCUAUUUCCCACCAUACAAUAAACAACUCCAUGCAUACAACCACAUACACAUGUUGUGAUUGGCUAUUGAAUUCACCUCACUAAACGGAAACGUUUUUAAGUCCAAUGCGAAGGCGAUUAAAAACUGACAUAAUGCUCGUGGUUCGAUGCAAAUCUCAAACGGUACGCCCUCCGUCCACACCGCAAGGUUUCCGAGUGAUGGUGAAUGGGCCUAUAGGGCCCAUUCUUUCACGUAAACCUUGCAACGUACUAACUUUUAACUUUUAAGUCACCACAUUAAGUCAUUAGGAAAUAUGUGUUGUAUAUUUCCCUGUCGACUCAUUAGUAAAUAAGACGUAGUAUUUAAGGUGGUGUAGAAACGGAGAUCAGCAGUUCCUCGAGUACUACCAGAGCGUAAGCACUCUGGCUCUCGUGAAUGAAUAAAAAAGGAUAAAACAAAUAUCGUUUCAUUUGUUAACCCAUUUGUCAACUGUUACUUGUUAACUGGCGCCCAACAAAGGAUUUGAACCUAUCCUAUUCCUUGAUUAAUUUUUUCACGGCAAAGUUAUAGCCGGUAUAAGAGAGAGUGUAUAGCAGUGAUAAGUGGCAUUCUGGCGAGCAAUUAGAGACAGUUAAGUGUUAGUUAUAGUUACCUGUGAAAAUAUGUCGGUGCUAAUCCUAUGCCAUUACUGACCUUAUAAUCCGAAUCACUACGGAGAUUGUAUCUAAAAUGCAAUUUGAAGUGCAAGGGCAAAUCAAUGCAUUAGCCAUUGAAAGUCAAAAGAUUUCAGCGGAAGCAGAUGCCGCUUUAGAAACGCGAUUUCAGUUUGCACUCCAAUCGCAAAAAAAAGAAUUAUCUUCCCAAUUUCAUUCUGCUAUUCCUUCUAAAGUAACUGUGUAACUAGUAGUGGAUAUCCGCUGACAUCUCCUAAGGGGUACCAAUUUGACCCAAAAGAAGCAACUUUAACACCCGGCAGGUUUGUUAAUAAUAGUAAGAUUUUAAUUUAAUUUGAAUUAUGAUAUUUGCAGUAAUAACCACAUUUUAUGUAAAAGAUUACCAUUAUCUUGAUGUUGCAGACGCGAAAACACAGAUUUAAUUUGAUAUUCACGGCUAGCAGCCAUAUUGUUGCGAGAAGGUUGGCGGACAUAACUAACUUCACUAAUUUGAUAAGCGCUCGACAGCGAUGGGCAAGAAGUGGUUGAAUAAGAUCAACGCUAGUUUCUUAUCUGUUUGACAUUAGUGGAUUAACAAAAUUCAUGAUACUGCUUCUAACUUGCAAAAACAAAUAACUAUAAAAAGACUCUUCUCAUUAUUUAUUUAUUUUCUAGAGGUUUCACAAUCUGGGCAAGUUACGGAUUUCAUAUAAUACUGCCACUAAGUGCCAACCAUUUAGGCUCUGACCAUCCCACCUACUUCAAAGAUCAAGGAGCGCUGGUGGUGGUGGUCGGUGGUAGGUGUAUGGAAGAAUCCGUCGGGAACUCCCCGCAAUCUCGAGCAUGAAUGUGGAAUGAUAUAUUUUUGCAUAGUUCCAGGACAUCAGAGGAAGCCAUGAGGGAUUUUGCUACAAUACAUGCAUUAUGGCAUCUACAACUAACCGCUCGAGACGCCAAAUUUCUUUGAUUUCCAAACAAGUGCCUCAUAGUUCACCGUAUUCUCCACGUACUUCCGUUCAAUGUUGCUGUUUUGGGGUAUAGCAAUAUCAAUAAUGUGCGCAGAACGACCCGUCUCUGAACUAAAAGGACAUCGGGUUUGUUUUAACAAUACAUACUGUAAACAGGACGAUUAGGUAGUGCCUGGGGCUCAUAUCAGUAAACCGGACAUGUUCCCGUGAUCAUUCCAUGUUUGUAUGCAAAGCUUUGGUUAAUCAUUUUACAUGCAGCAUUGUGUAUUGCACCGCCGCCAUUAUAGUGCAACCAGAAAUAAGAUGGUCUAAAGUCUCCAGUGCCGAACCAUAUAUUCUGCAUUGGUCGUUCACCACCCUUUUUCAUAAACUCGGGUGGCGACCACGCCGACCCGAAUAGCACACAUAAAUCCCUUCGUCUCAGCAAAGAGCUCUCCAGCACACAGCCAUCUGUUCGACAAAUAUAAAUUGAUAACUGGUUGCCAAAGACCAUU